rnacentral:rRNA from 1 species
CUUUUACGGAGAGUUUGAUCCUGGCUCAGGACGAACGCUGGUGGCGUGCUUAACACAUGCAAGUCGAACGGUGAAGCCCAGCUUGCUGGGUGGAUCAGUGGCGAACGGG